rnacentral:rRNA from 1 species
UACGUAGGGGGCUAGCGUUGUCCGGAAUCAUUGGGCGUAAAGCGCGUGUAGGCGGUCCGGUAAGUCCGCUGUGAAAGUCGGGGGCUCAACCCUCGGAUGCCGGUGGAUACUGUCGGGCUUGAGUGCGGAAGAGGCGAGUGGAAUUCCUGGUGUAGCGGUGAAAUGCGCAGAUAUCAGGAGGAACACCGAUUGCGAAGGCAGCUCGCUGGGACGUUACUGACGCUGAGACGCGAAAGCGUGGGGAGCAAACAGG